UAAUGGCACAGGCAGGGAGCCCAGCCAACAGCGAGUUGCAGUAAUCCAGACGGGAGAUGACAAGUGCCUGGAUUAGGACCUGCGCCGCUUCCUGUGUGAGGCAGGGUCGUACUCUGCGGAUGUUGUAGAGCAUGAACCUACAGGAACGGGCCACCGCCUUGAUGUUGAGAACGACAGGGUGUUGUCCAGGAUCACGCCAAGGUUCUUAGCGCUCUGGGAGGAGGACACAAUGGAGUUGUCAACCGUGAUGGCGAGAUCAUGGAACGGCCAGUCCUUCCCCGGGAGGAAGAGCAGCUCCGUCUUGCCGAGGUUCAGCUUGAGGUGGUGAUCCGUCAUCCACACUGAUAUGUCUGCCAGACAUGCAGAGAUGCGAUUCGCCACCUGGUCAUCAGAAGGGGGAAAGGAGAAGAUUAAUUGUGUGUCGUCUGCUUAGCAAUGAUAGGAGAGACCAUGUGAGGUUAUGACAGAGCCAAGUGACUUGGUGUAUAGCGAGAAUAGGAGAGGGCCUAGAACAGAGCCCUGGGGGACACCAGUGGUGAGAGCACGUGGUGUGGAGACGGAUUCUCGCCACGCCACCUGGUAGGAGCGACCUGUCAGGUAGGACGCAAUCCAAGCGUGGGCCGCGCCGGAGAUGCCCAACUCGGAGAGGGUGGAGAGGAGGAUCUGAUGGUUCACAGUAUUUUCCAACGGGGCUAUACAUUUGGGUGAGGUUUUUCUCUCACCUGAGUAGCCUCGUUUCACUGCCAAAAAUAAAAUGAAACAGUCUACUAUUCAGCGAAAUAACAACACAAUGUCAAAUACAGGUGGCCCAGUCAAAUAAUUAACAUCCAAUCACAUUAACCGUUACUCUCUCGUGGGAAUUCCACUAACUGUCCGUAUGUAGCCAAACGUAGCUGCUGCUCAUUCCAAUUGCUCAAAUAUUGAUAAAUGGUUAAAGAAGUAAGGCCCGCAUACAUAGACACAUACUAGCUCUACUGGUAGUACUGCUACUACCAGCAGUACUACACCUGCACCUGUCGACGACACAAAUUGUUCUAUUUCCACGAGCACAUCCAAUGCUACCAUCAGUAAUUCUAAAUUUGUUGUUAGCCCAGCUAGCAUGGACACUGACGGAUGUGAAUCUGAUGCAGCCGAAGAGCUACUGCCGCUGUACCUGGGAAAGCACCGAACACCAGACAGGGACGUUGGACCAUCGAAGAGGCGCAAAUAUGAUGAGCACUACAUUGAUUUGGGGUUCACUUAUAUUUAGAGCAGUGCCUUUUCUCAACCACAGUGUGUUGUGUGUGUGUGCAAAAGUACUAUCUCACUACUCUAUGAAACCUUCACUGUUGACAUUUAGAAACAAAACAUGCCAAUUUGUAAAAUCAGCCACGGGAGUUUUUUGAGCGAGUAUUAAGACAACUUUUGAGUAGUAAGACAUGUAUAAAAGCAGCAGAUACCAUUAAUAAGAAGGGGCUAGAGGCGUCUUAUUUGGUGAGCUACCGAGUGGCUAGGACAGGCAAGCCCCAUACUAUUGUGGAGGACUUAAUUCUUUCUGCUGCUGUGGAUAUGGCUGGGACAAUGCUGGGGGAAAAGGCCCAAAAAACUAUACAGACAAUGUCUUCAUCAAACACUGUUUCGCGAUGCAUCAGUGACAUGGCAGAAGAUGUUUUGAAACAAUUUCUGCUUUGCAUACAAGCCAGUGAAUUCUAUGCGUUACAGCUGAAUUAGUCAACAGACGUGGCGGGCCUGGCACAGAUCCUGGUAUAUGUCCAUUACGUUUAUGGGGGUCAAUUAAGGAAGACCUCCUCUUCUGCAAACCACUGGAAACCAGGACAACAGGAGAUGAGGAUUUCUUUUAAGUGCUGGACAGCUUUGUGACAUCAAAUGGACUUUGGUGGUCAAGAUGUGUUGGUAUCUGUACUGUAAAGCCAUGACAGGGAGACAUUGGAAUGGUAACGUGUGUGCAAGCAGUUGCUCCCGACUACACUUGGGUACACUGCAGCAUCCACCGAGAGGCUCUUGCUGCCAAAGGAAUGCCUGACAGCUUGAAAUACGUUUUGGACACUACAGUGAAAAUGGUUAACUUUGUUAAAGCAACGCUCCUGAACUCGUGUUUUCUGCACUAUGCAAUGACAUGGGCAGCGACCAUGUAACGCUUUUACAACAUACAGAAGAAGUGCGCUGGUUAUCAAGGGGCAAAGUAUUGACACUUUUUUUUAAAUUGAGAGACGAGCUUAAAGUUUUCUUUAUUGACUAUAAUUUUCACUUGUCUGACCGCUUGCGUGAUGAUGACGUUUCUCACAUGACUGGCCUAUCUGGGUGAUGUUUUUUCUCGCCUGAAUGAUCUGAAUCUAGGAUUACAGGGACUAUCCGCAGCUAUAUUCAAUGUGCGGGACACAAUUGAGGCUAUGGUUAACCCUUGUGUUGUCUUAAGGGUAAAAAAUGACCCGCCACUAUGUUCGACAGCAGAGAACCUCCCUUGAUAUUUUUUCAACUUGACUUUUCCUAGAGUGACCCCAACAUUAGUAAAAGUGAAACAUCACCUUUGUUCAUAUUUCCAUGAAAGCUGUUAACCACCAGGGUACAAAGAUUGUCUUAGGGUCAUUUUUGACCCGGCAGUUAUAAAAUCAUUUACACACCACAAAGACAGACACACACACAAUGAGAAAUGUAGAUUAUUUGUGUUACUUAUUGAACUCAGACAAAACUAAAACUUUUUUUGUGCAUGUGCAGCAUCUCCCCUCCAUGACCCCACACAUGACUCACGUUCACAGACAAAAUAAAAACCAUUUCGGACAUAAUAAACAUUUCUUGACAGCAUUGUUUACUAAUGGGGAAUGCAGUCAGUCUGUAAAGGUGCUGCAGAUGAGUUCUCUCUUUACUGAAGCCAUGAGUAUGUUUCAGUGCCCAACAGGUCGUAGAUCAGAUUUUUUUUUCAGAUGUCCAGGAUGAGCAAGAGUACAAUGAUUUAGAAGAGGUGGUAUCUGAGGAAGAUGGGGAAGAAUGCAACCCAAAGCACGAUGCACCAUCUUCAGAUGAAGAAGGAGAAAUCCGCCAAACUGAAAGAGACAUUUUUGUCAAAGAACAGCAAAAUAACAUGGUCCUUGUCACCAUUUGACAACCAGGGCAGGAUGGCAACACAAAAUGUCAAGGAUGACCCCAAGGCCCACUAGACAUGCAGUUACCCAUGCCCAGGACAUCGCCUCAACAUUCUACAUGUUCAUCACACCAGCCAUUGAAAAAACAUAAUCCUGGAGAUGCAAAAUUUGAAGGGUUUCUGUAAAAUGGAGACAACUGGAAAAGGAUGGAUGAGAUUGACCUGCGUGCUUACAUAGGGCAGCUAAUCUUAGCGGGUGUGUAUAGGUCCCGAGGCAAGGCUACGUGUAGUCUCUGGGAUGCAGGGAGUGGAAGAGUGAUUUUCCGUGUCACGAUGCCACUGAAAGUCUUUCACACUUUCUCAAGAAUGCUAUGAUUUUGAUAACUGUGAGUCAAGACGUGUGAGAAACAAAUUGGCAGCCAUAAGAGAAGUCUGGGAGAAGUGGUUUGAGCAUCUGCCAUACCUCUACAACCCUGGGCCUGAAGUAAUAGUGGAUGAACAACUGGUUCCAUUCAGAGGUCGCUGUCCUUUCCGGCAGUAUAUGCCCAGCAAGCCAGCAAAGUAUGGCAUCAAGAUAUGGGUGGCCUGUGACGCACAAUCCAGCUAUGCUUGGAAGAUGCAAGUCUACGCAGGGAAACUGACCAGUGGAGGCCCGGAGAAGAACCAGGGGAUGCGGGUUGUGCUUGAUGUGACAGACGGACUGAGGGGGUACAAUGUCACGUGUGACAAUUUCUUCACCUCUUAUGAACUCAGCCAGCAGCUCUUGAAGAGGAAGAUCACCAUGAUUGGCACAGUUAAAAAGAACAAGCCUGAGCUCCCCCCUGCACUCCUCGCAACAAUGGGCAGAGAGGCCUUCUCAUCAAAGUUUGCCUUCACCACCACUAGUUUCUUAUCUCCCAAAGAGGAACAAGAUUGUGGUCCUCCUGAGCACACUGCACAAAACGGCUGAGAUCAGUGAUCGUGAGGAAAGGAAGCCAGCCAUCAUCCUGGACUAGAACCACAAAGGAAGUGUGGACAACCUGGACAAUGUGAUUGAAACUUACAGCUGCAGGAGGCCCCUGGUCAUCUUCCAUAACAUUGAUGUGUCCUCAAACAAUGCCUUUGAUAUGGAACAUGAUCAACCCUAUUAUCUUAUUUUAUUCUUAUUUAUUGUUUAUGCACCUUGUGGGUGGGUGCAAUGGUUUAAAAAAAUGGGAGAAGACUAGUAUUUUGUAGUUGAAUUCCUCAUUGUACAGUACAUAAGAAUGUAUCACUGUUGCCAAAAACGUUCAAGACUGUUAUUGUUUCCCCUUCAAUAAAAUGCAUUCAGAAUUACUUUCUGCACAUCUAUUUUCUUAGGCUAUACAAGUGCUAUCUCUUGCAAAACAAAUGUUUACACAUAUGCAGUACCUUUAGCAAUAAUAAUAAUACAUCUCUACUUUAGAAUAUUAAACGAUUAUGCCAGGUGUGUUGUAAUAAAACGAGUGGUGUCCACUGAUUAAAUGCAAUCUUUGCAUUGUGAAGAGGGAAACCCCAGAUAUUCCCAAAUUUUGUGAUGAAUGACCACUUGUUUCUUCGUGUAAAAUAGAUUUGGGGUUUAAAAUUCAAUUAAGCCGCUUUAUUUUAGGGGUUUAGUGAAGGUGGGUAAAAAAAUGACCCUUAGGACAAGGGGAGUAUACAGAAUGGUAAGACUACACAAGGGUUAAGAAGUUGGCGCAAUUCUCUGUCUGUGUGAACAAGGACAACACACAGGUCUUUCCAUCAUUGUAUGAUUUUUUGUGUACAAAUGAACUCAAGCUCACGAACAAUGUCAAAUGUGAUAUAGCGAAGCACCUGAGUGAGUUGGGUGCGCCAUUACGCAGGUGCUUUCCCGAAAUGGAUGACACAAACAACGGGAUUCAUUAUCCCUUUCAUGCCCUGCCUCCAGUCCACUUACCAAUAUCUGAACAAGAGAGCCUCAUCGAAAUUGCAACAAACAAUUCUGUGAAAAUUGUAUUUAAUCAGAAGCCACUGCCAGAUUUCUGGAUUGGGCUGUGCUCAGAGUAUCCUGCCUUAGCAAAUCGCGCUAUUAAGACACUGAUGCCCUUUGCAACCACAUACCUAUGUGAGAGUGGAUUCUCGGCCCUCACUAGCAUGACAACUAAAUACAGGCACAGACUGUGUGGAAAAUGAUUUUAGACUGAGACUCUCCAAUACAACCCAACAUUGCAGAGUUAUGUGCAUCCUUUCAAGCACACCCUUCUCAUUAACCUGUGGGGGCUAUUCUCAAUUUUCGAUGAACAAUUCAAGUUUUAAAUGUCAGAUGUCUAAAUAAAGAGCAAAAUUAUUGAUUAUUAUAUGUGCCCUGGUUCUUAAGAGCUCCUUGUCACUUCCCACGAGCCGGGUUGUGACAAAAACUCACUCGUUCUUAUGUUAAAUAAAUGUAUCUUAUAGUGUGUGUGUGGCAAAAAAAAAUAUUAAAAAAUGAGAGUGCGCUGACCCUGGUGCCAGAAGGUGUACACAGCUUGAGGUUGAAUAUUUGAAGGGGUACGGGACUUUAAAACAUUUGGGAACCACUGCUAAUCACACCAAAUCAUGUAUGACUAAAACAUAUCGUUCCUGUAUCAUAUCAGAGUUCAUGUAUCAAGAUGCGUAUCUAGAUACAUGGGCUCUCGAAUUUACUAGGGAGCUGCACAUCCCAAGUAAAUAUCUCAUGGCCCUUUCUAAUGUUGCUCUGUUUUGUCUUCUAGAUAUAUCUGUUGUCUUGUCUAUGUAUUGUUGUAACGAUAUUACUACUCGCAUGUAAAUAAAUAAAACAUUUUCGGUUAA